rnacentral:rRNA from 1 species
GACGAACGCUGGCGGCGUGCUUAACACAUGCAAGUCGAACGGUGAAGCGCCUUCCUUUUUGGUGGGUGUGGAUGAGUGGCGAACGGGUGAGUAACACGUGAGUAACCUGCCCCCUUCUUCUGGAUAACCGCAUGAAAGUGUGGCUAAUACGGGAUAUUCUGGGUCUGUCGCAUGAUGGGUCUGGGAAAGAUAUUGUUUCGGUGGGGGAUGGGCGCGCGGCCUAUCAGCUUGUGGGUGGGGUGAUGGCCUACCAAGGCGGUGACGGGUGGCCGGCCUGGGAGGGGAGACGGACAGACUGGGAGUGAGACACCGCACAGACUCGUAAGGGAGGCGGGAGUGGGGAAUAUGGAAGAAUGGGCGCAAGCCUGAUGCAGCGACGCCGCGUGAGGGAGGGAGGCCGUCGGGUUGUGACCCUCUUUCGCCAGUGAAGCAGGCCUGCCUAGUUUGUGGGUGGGUUGACGGUAGCUGGAUAAGAAGCGCCGGCUAACUACGU